UGGGGAAUAUUGGACAAUGGGGGAAACCCUAAUCCAGCCAUGCCGCGUGAGUGAUGAGGCCUUAGGGUUGUAAAGCUCUUUUGCUAGGGAAGAUAAUGACGGUACCUAGAGAAUAAGCACCGGCUAACUUCGUGCCAGCAGCCGCGGUAAUACGAAGGGUGCUAGCGUUGUUCGGAAUUACUGGGCGUAAAGCGCGCGUAGGCGGCGAUUCAAGUCAGAGGUGAAAUCCCUAGGCUCAACCUAGGAAUUGCCUUUGAAACUAGAUCGCUAGAAUCUUGGAGGGGAUAGCGGAACUCCGAAUGUAGCGGUGAAAUGCGUAGAUAUUCGGAGGAACGCCGGUGGCGAAGGCGGCUAUCUGGACAAGUAUUGACGCUGAGGCGCGAAA
rnacentral:rRNA from 1 species